rnacentral:rRNA from 1 species
UGCGUAGGCGGCUUGGAAAGUUGGGUGUGAAAUCCCUCGGCUCAACCGAGGAAUUGCGCUCAAUACUGCCAAGCUAGAGGGAGACAGAGGUGAGCGGAACUUAGGGUGGAGCGGUGAAAUGCGUUGAUAUCCUAAGGAACACCAGUGGCGAAGGCGGCUCACUGGGUCUCUUCUGACGCUGAGGCACGAAAGCUGGGGGAGCGAACAGGAUUAGAUACCCUGGUAGUC